AAAAAUUUAGUUAAAAAAUAACAUUAGUUUGUCAAACUAAAAUUAUUAUAUGUAAUAAUUUUUA
rnacentral:tRNA from 1 species